CGGAGGGAGAGCCGGGGAAAGGCGGCGGGUGGCUUCAGGACAAGCCUGAGAAGUAUCCUGCGUAUACAACUGGCAACAUAAGACCUUGCAAUCCACGCUGUCCUCAGAAAAUAACUGUGGACUCUCUAUGCUCUUAACAAGAUGUUAACUUUCAGAACUAAUUAAGAAUGAAGAUUACUGACCUGAUGUGCAGGUUCCAUCUUCAUGGCUGCCUUCCAACAUGAAUGUAUGGAAUUGAUUUGUCAGUGACACAGAAACUUAUGUGUGGGUCCAUGGAUGGAAACCUAGGGGGAAAACUCAGUCAUCAGAAUCAUUAUUCUCUUCUGUAGGGAGAAGACAGU